rnacentral:sRNA from 1 species
GCUCUCUCCGAAAGGGGGAGGGUUUGAACCGACGAGAUAAUAGAUCGGUUCAACAAAAUCGCCUGGAGCGAUUUUGAACAGCGCGGCAGCGCUGGCCCGAAGGGCGGAGGGCAGGAAGUCCGGAGUAAUCCUCCCCCUCCACCA